CUGGAGCUGGAGAUGAGAUCUGGCUUCCGUGGGAGUCCGGGCGGAGUCUUCCUGCAGCUGGAGUUGGAGAUGAGAUCUGGCUCCCGUAGGAGCCCGGGCGAAGUCCACCUACAAUCAAAGUCAGGGGCGAAGUCUGGCUCCCAUAGGAGUCCGGAUGAAGUUUACCAGCAGUCAGGGUCGAGGACGGAGCCCAGCUCCCAUAGGAGUCUGGGCGAAGCCUUCCAGCAAUCGAGAUCGGGGACGAAGCCCAGGCGGAG
rnacentral:lncRNA from 1 species